GGGAUGUAGCUCAGUUGGUUAGAGCGCUACGUUCACAUCGUAGAAGUCGAAGGUUCGAGUCCUUUCAUCCC
rnacentral:tRNA from 1 species